AAUGAAAUGAAAGAACAAACAAAACAACUCUACCACCACCACGAAUGGCAAUCAACGAUAAGGUUUUAUAGUAACUUUUAUUUUAUUUUAACCACUCCAGCUCAGAACUCACGAGGAAUGUACACAAACACCUGCCCCGCGUCCCAACUGUCAAUCAGAUAACACUGGACAGGUUGUGAUGAUUUAAAAAAGAAAAUUGACAGAAGAAAUAAAAAAAAAAAAAACUGGUGAAGUAUCUUUUUCCUUGUUCAUACCUGCGCUACACGUUUUAGACCAGAGAGUCUUAUUAUAUAUUGAUAUUAGCACUCUCAAAGAAAAAAUAAAUGAAACAAAAUGUUGUUCUUUUGGCGUUUACUGAUGGGACAGUUAAAGUGCAUUUAUCAAAUCAUAUCAUUUCCCCCAGCCUGCAAAACUGAUCUCUUCUGACUCCUUUGCAGUUCCUUCCUUUGUAGUCUUUUUUUUUUUGGCUAUUUUCCCACAAUCAUACUACUAAAUGCCCACCCUCUUUUCCAACAUUUAUUGGGUUUUGUUUUGUUUUUUGUUUUUCAUUCUUGAAAAAUAU
rnacentral:lncRNA from 1 species